ACCAGUUUCAGAGCCUGAUCGUAUGCACAUUACUUCAAGUUUAGAUGUUCGAGCACAUUACAUGCACCCGGUCUAUUGGAUUCCCCUGUGCUAUACUUUUGGACAUGUUGCGAGCACAUGCCUAUCCACUGUGGUGAGAUGACUGGCAGAUAGGUGAUUUAUUAUAUUGGAGAGUGAUUCUAGAUUGCCUCGGGGUGGGCGAUGUUGUAUGGCAACCCCACCGCAAUAUGGUGACAUGGGUGAUAGAUCAGACCUACCUUCCAUGUAUGCAAAGGGAUAGAUUCCUUCUUAGACAGAAGGAUCACAUCAUCAUCUCCUACUAUUAGUGUCGGUGCAUAUGUCAGCUAGGACAUGUGUAGAUCAUGCCCCUUGUUGUGUCGACAUACAUCCAGUUAGCAAGGAGCACACUAUAACCACAUGCUCUCCCCGACCGACGAUCAGAGAUGUACGAGAUAGUCCGAAGGGGAGUGAUGAUGAUGAUACCCCUCCACAACUAGACAUCGAUGACAUCAGGGUCACAAAGGACUUUGUUGACUGGUGGAGUGCAGAGGGCCUGCACCCGAUCUUCCCUCCAGACGCUCCAGAGGGUGAUGUCCAGGCCUUGAGUGGAGAUGGGGAUGAGCAAGCGGAUAAACAACAGGAGGAGGAGCAGUAGAAGGAGAGGCCUAGGCAAAGGCAGCGCACAACGAGCCUGAGCCCAAUGAGGCCACCCACAAGAUCGAAAAAUCCCUUACUACUGGCCUCACCUACACCUAGGAGGGGCCACUGCAGGAAAAUAUAGCUGAGAUUGAAGAGGUGAUUAGAGAACCUCCGUGAGAUCCUGACUGGCAGAGGGGCGAUCUAGAGAGCAUUGCUGAGUGGCUGGGUUUUAUAGAUUAGGCACUUGCUAAGAUCAUCCCUAUAGUAGACAUCUAGGGAUCCAUCUUGGAUGUAUACCGACCUUGCUAAUCAGCCAUGAGACAUAUGGAUCUGUUUGAGCAUGUAGCACGAUUGUAGACAACAUAUGAGGAGAGCCAGCCAAAGAUGGUGUAGAGCGCUACAUAGAUGGCCAUUAUGAUGGGGCAAAGGGACUAGGCCUUGGCUGAGGUUCAGACUAUUCUCAUGGAGAAAGACCAGGUGGUGACGAGGGUAUAUAGUGUUGAGAGAGAAUGUGACUCCCUAGAAAGCUAGGUCAAUGACCUCCAGAGACAGGUCGAUGUCGCUCAACAGGGUGCAAAUGGUGACCUUGAUCACCCUUGAGUGCACUAGCUGAUGCUGGAACUAAAUGCAACGAGACGAUGAGAGGACGCCCUAAGGGAGGAUCUGAUGAUCUAGAGGGAAACAGUUGCAGAGCUGAGAGGCAUCCACUCAUGAAGCACUAUAAUAGUUAGAUCACACUCCACCUCAGUUUUUCAACCAUCAUGCUAGGAUUAGGAUCCUUUAGCACCAGUAGGUUCAGGGACUCAUGCCCCCAGAGGGUCCUAAGCAUACAUUUUUUAUAUUGUAUAAAUUCAUCUUUUUGAUAUUGAUGUAUAUAUUAUUUUGAUACAUACAUGUACAGAUGUUGUUUCCAGACACGUAUAUUGGCAUCACAUUAUUUUUAUAGUGAUGUGAAACAUGUACAUUGAGGCUCAACAUUGCUAUAUAUAUAUAUAUAUGAUACUUUUGAUUCGACUA